rnacentral:rRNA from 1 species
GAACACUUGGAAACAGGUGCUAAUACCGCAUAACCAUGAACACCGCAUGAUGUUCAUGUAAAAGACGGCUUUUGCUGUCACUUUUGGAUGGGCUGCGGCGUAUUAACUUGUUGGUGGGGUAACGGCCUACCAAGGUGAUGAUACGUAGCCGAACUGAGAGGUGAUCGGCCACAUGGGACUGAGACACGGCCCAACUCCUACGGGAGGCAGCAGUAGGGAAUUUCCACAAUGGACGAAAGUCUGAUGGAGCAACGCCGCGUGAAUGAAGAAGGCCUUCGGGGUCGUAAAAAUUCUGUUGUCAGAGAAGAACGUGCGUGAGAGUAACUGUUCACGUAUUGACGGUAUCUGACCAGAAAGCCACGGCUAACUACGUGCCAGCAGCCGCGGUAAUACGUAGGUGGCGAGCGUUGUCCGGAUUUAUUGGGCGUAAAGGGAACGCAGGCGGUCUUUUAAGUCUGAUGUGAAAGCCUUCGGCUUAACCGAAGUAGUGCGAUUGGAAACUGGAAGACUUGAGUGCAGAAGAGGAGAGUGGAACUCCAUGUGUAGCGGUGAAAUGCGUAGAUAUAUGGAAGAACACCAGUGGCGAAAGCGGCUCUCUGGUCUGUAACUGACGCUGAGGUUCGAAAGCGUGGGUAGCAAACAGGAUUAGAUACCCUGGUAGU